rnacentral:rRNA from 1 species
UACGGGGGGAGCAAGCGUUGUUCGGAUUUACUGGGCGUAAAGGGCGCGUAGGCGGCAUGACAAGUCACUUGUGAAAUCUCCGGGCUUAACUCGGAACGGCCAAGUGAAACUGUCAAGCUAGAGUGCGGAAGGGGCAAUCGGGAAUUCUUGGUGUAGCGGUGAAAUGCGUAGAUAUCAAGAGGAACACCUGAGGUGAAGACGGGUUGCUGGGCCGACACUGACGCUGAUGCGCGAAAGCCAGGGGAGCAAACGGG